rnacentral:tRNA from 1 species
GCUUUCGUGGUGUAGUGGUCAGCACACUCGACGCGUAUUCGAGAGGUCCAUGGUUCGAAUCCCAGCCAGGGCA